CAUCCAGACUCCUACGGGAGGCAGCAGUGGGGGAUAUUGCACAAUGGGGGGAACCCUGAUGCAGCGACGCCGCGUGGGCGAGGGAGCGCCUCGGCGCGUAAAGCCCUUUCGGCGGGGGAGAACGAUGACGGUACCCGACGAAGAAGCACCGGCUAACUACGUGCCAGCAGCCGCGGUAAUACGUAGGUGGCAAGCGUUGUCCGGAUUUACUGGGUGUAAAGGGCGUGUAGCCGGGCUGACAAGUCAGAUGUGAAAUCCGGGGGCUCAACCCCCGAACUGCAUUUGAAACUGUUGGUCUUGAGUAUCGGAGAGGCAGGCGGAAUUCCUAGUGUAGCGGUGAAAUGCGUAGAUAUUAGGAGGAACACCAGUGGCGAAGGCGGCCUGCUGGACGACAACUGACGGUGAGGCGCGAAAGCGUGGGGAGCAAACAGGAUUAGAUACCCCGGUAGAU
rnacentral:rRNA from 1 species